AGCGUCCAGUAGAGCUGGAGCCUGGUGACUAGGGAGGAGGUGGAAGGUACACGGACAGGCUCUCCGGAAGGGCCCCUGGGUGUCGAGAAGUCUGGAACUUUAUUCGAGGUGCCAAGGAAAACCAUUGAAGGAUUUUAGCAAGAAUGUAAUAUGAGCUCAUUCAUACUUUUGAAAACCACUUUGCAGAGAAAGGAGACCAACGUUCACGUGAAGAGACAAAUUAAAGGGCUAUGUGCACUCGGAAGAAAAAAUGAAGAAAGACGGAUUUUAUUUGAAUGGAACCACACAAGUAUGUACUCUUGCAGUCUAGCUUCUGCACUUAGCCUAAAUGUGUUCAAGUCUCCACCAUAUUGUUACGUGGAUCUGUAGUUUAUUUUUCAUUGCAGAAUACUAUUCCCUUGUAGCUAGAGAACAUAAUCUGCAAUCCAUUCACGUGUUGAUGGACAUUGUGGCUUUUUACAGUGUUUGGGUAUUUUAAUCAAAGAUUCCAGGAACAUUUGUGUAUGAGUCUUCUUUAGAAAACACUUUAAAAUUCAUUUUGAAUAAAUAAUCUAGGAAUGGAAUUGCUAGGUCAUAGGUCUUAUUUCAUGAGGAAGUGGCAAACAGUUUUCCAAAGUGAUGGUACCAUUUGAUAUCCCCAUUCAAUAAGGUUUGAAAAUGUCACUUCCUCAAUGUUGCUUUGUCCACCUUUGGUAUUAUCAGUCUUUUUAAACUUUAGCCAUUCUACUAUGUGUGUAAUUUACAUUUUUGUGAUGACUAAUGUUUUUUGUCAGAUACAAAUACACAUAGAGUGAAUAUUUUCUCCCCACCUAUGUCUUGCCUUUUCAGUUUCUAAUUAUUUUUUUUGAAGUUUUUUAAUUUUGGUAAAGUUCAAUUAAUAUUGCUUUCUCCUAUAUAGCUUGUGUUUUUGUCCUAAAAAUUUUGCUUACUUCAAGGUUUCAAGCAUGUUUUCCCAGAUUUUCUCUUUAAAAGUUAUACAGUUUUAGCUUUUACAUGGAUCUGUGAUCUCUUUCUAGUUAAUUCUGUAUAUGGUAUAAAGUAAUGACCAAGAUUAUUUUCUUUGAUAUGUAUGGCCAGGUGUUCCAGCAACAUUUUUGAAAAGACUAUCUUUGCCCUGUUACAUUGGCAUCUUUGUAAAAAAUGAAUUGGUCAUAUUUGUGUGGGUCUAUUUAUAGCUUCCAUAUUCUGUUUCAUUGAUCACCAUGUCUAUUCUUACACUAAUCGUAUGCUGUUUUGCUUAUGGCAGUUACACAAUAAACCAUGAAAUCAGGCA